rnacentral:misc_RNA from 1 species
AAAAAAAAUAAAAAUAAAAAUAAAUCAUAAAGCACGCAACAGGCAGGCCACCACCACUUGCACUAAAUACAAGAAGCACAGCAACGCCCAAAGAGAAAGCACGGAGCAGAACAGCAGCCCCAGGAGAAAAAAUACACAACAGCACAGCAACCCCAGCAGUGAAAAUACACCGCGAUUGCAAAAUGCACCAAUUCUAUUACGGAUAACAGUUAUGGUUGGACAUCGAUAGAAGCUCUCUUCUUGGGCAUAUAGCAGACGUACCCCACAAUUGCGAACAUCAGAACAAGGUAAAGGAUCGCCAUUCAUAUCUUCAGGAUAGAAU